rnacentral:lncRNA from 1 species
UAUAAACGCACAUUAUCUGUAAGAGUCAGGAUUGUAUUGCUGGCACCCUGGGUGGGUACAUGGGCAGUGGCAACGAUUUGUGUGUGGGCUGCUGUUUCCAUUCCCAGAGGGCAGAGCUCAUGUUUGGGCUUGGGAGGGUGUUUCCUACUCAAUAAACAAAAAGUGGCCGCAACAGGACUGGGGCAAAACAGUGAGGGGAAAGAGCACGGAACUAGAUGUCCAGAAACCUGGGUCUUAAUUCCAUCCUGAGCACUAUCUCCUCGUACAACCUUGAGCAAGUCCUUUGCCCUUCUGUUUAUAAAAUGAGGUGGGUGGAUCAGGAGUUCUCAAACUGUGCUCCAUGCUACCCUGGGGUUCUAGAAAUUCUGGAGCUCAAGGGCAUCAGUGGGUCAAGAGGACAGAAUGUCAUCAAAUUGGAAUCAUACAGAUUUCAGAUUGGCUUCUUUCACUAAGCAAUAUGCAUGAUAGAGGACUUCAUCAACAAGGUUCUUUCAUCUUCCUUAGUUGUUUGGAUCCUUAAGCCUGCCUUGAAAGAAGAGGGAGAAGGCUUCAGGGGAAAUGCUCCCCGCGCUGACCCACAGGAUGGCUUCCUUCAACAAAUGCAGCCACCUUUGAUUGGCUGCCUGCUACAAGAGAAACAUCAGGAGGUACGUAUUGCCAUGGGGGGAACUGAAGAUGGAGGACCCCUCAUUUGUGGAAUUGGGAACGGGCUUUGGGUCACAUGAGGCUCAUCCCUGAUGAGCUAGAACGUGGAAGUUACCUGAAUCCAGAAACCGAUAUUAGGCUCUGUAAUGGACAUGCAGAGGAAGAAGGACCUGUUGCCACGUCUACAGAGGGGUCAGGAAAGACACACUUGGAAUGACCCUAAGAAACCAUGGGCAAGUCUCCAUUUUUUUCCCUCAGCCAAAUCUGUAUGCACUGGUACAGCCAUACCAAUUAUUAAAAUAUUGAAAAACUUCUGUGUCCCUUGGGAAACAGCCACUACCAUGAGCCCCACUACUGCCCUUCUCUCCUGGCAUGUUCAGACCUCCCUGAGUCCAGCAAUGAAAGGGUUAACACUUGCCCCAGCAGAGGGCCUCUGGGAGCCAGCUCCUGCCUUCAGAGCUGUCUGUUAAGACUGGUCUAGGACUAGAUUCAUUCUUACUGUUUUUAAAUAGCUUGAAUGUCACCUCCAGAUGAAGCUCCCCAAACGGAAUGAGACAUCUAAAUAGAGCCACAUGGGGUCCAUCUGGGGUGGCUCCCCAGAGGACAAAUUUUGCAAAGGAAAUCUGAUGGGGUAAGAGAUGCAAUUUAGUGGCUAGGAGAGUGAGGGUUUGGACAAAGCUCUGAUUAAGGAGCAAUCCUCCUGUGGCAUGCUAGGGUUUAAACACAGGGUUCAGAGUGGCAUGCACAUC